rnacentral:rRNA from 1 species
UACGGAGGGUGCUAGCGUUGUUCGGAAUCACUGGGCGUAAAGCGCGUGUAGGCGGUCCGCUAAGUCUGGUGUGAAAGCCCGGGGCUCACCCCCGGAAGGGCACUGGAAACUGACGGACUCGAGUCCCGGAGAGGAGGGUGGAAUUCCUGGUGUAGCGGUGAAAUGCGUAGAUAUCAGGAGGAACACCGGUGGCGAAGGCGGCCCUCUGGACGGUGACUGACGCUGAGACGCGAAAGCGUGGGGAGCAAACAGG